GUGCCACUCCCACCCAUGACUGCCCUGGAGCUUUUUUUGGGUUCUCACCUGAACAGUAACUGGGCUGAAGCCGAUAAUACUGAGCGAUGAAAAUGACACUUGUUCUGCAACAGACAUCUGAAGACAUUAUCGUCGAUGGCACCUGGUUGUGAUCGUCAUUUUAAUGUGCAUUAAUGCAUUCAGCGUUGCUGAGGCUGCAGCUCUAAAGUGUCACACCUGUGGACGGGGAGGUGGACCUGAGUGUGGAGGUGUGCUCAUUUGCCACUGCUCCUGCUCCUCCUCCUUCUCCUGCUGUGAGUCAACCUGCUCUCCUUCUUUAUGACUCUUGAGCAUUGAGACUGCUGCUGCCAUUUGUUCCCUGCUGCCUGCUCUUUCACACCUCCAAAGCAAAAAUGACAUCUGGAUCAGGGGCCAAAGUGGCCGAGCAAGUGAUACACAUCUUCGACAAAAUGCGUUUAACCAAACGUGACUGAGGGGCUGGUUGAGUUGAUGAAGGAUGAACUUUUGACUUUUAACAGAUUUUUCACACUUUCACAGAGCAGUUCCUCAAAGUGAAUGGUGGUUGUCAACAGUCCCAGUCCUUGCUUAACUUCAUCGACUGACUAAAUCGCAGAACUUUCAACUGACCUCACAAUAAUUUUAACAUUUUGUGUUUAUACAGAAAGGAGUUUAGCUCUAAUGUAGACAUACCCACAUGAUGAAGAGACAUUUGUUUUUACCUUGGAAAUGGAAAGUGAAUAAUGAUUUCUCCUCAUUCCAGGGCUCCUGAUGAAGCAAGUAUCCAUGAUAAAAUUCUAUACUCGAGCUCCAAGCAGUACUUAAAAAAUGCAAUGAACGGUAUCAAACAUGACCUGGAGUUCCAGUCGCUUGCAGAUAUUGCAGACAGAAAAUGUUUUACAGAGAAGUUUGGAAAGCAGAUAGUCACACUUGAGG